rnacentral:SRP_RNA from 1 species
UUUGCCGUGCUAAGCGGGGAGGUAGCGGUGCCCUGUACUCGCAAUCCGCUCUAGCGAGGCCGAAUCCCUUCUCGAGGUUAUGUUACUGUAAGGCCUGCCUUAAGUAAGUGGUGUUGACGUUUGGGUCCUACGCAACGAGACCCCGUGAACCUUGUCAGGUCCGGAAGGAAGCAGCAAUAAGCGGGUUCUCUCGUGUGCCGUAGGAGUGCCUGAACUGAGCUAACUGCUUGAGUAACGCUUAUGGUACGUAAUCGACAGAAGGUGCACGG